rnacentral:rRNA from 1 species
CCUACGGGAGGCUGCAGUGGGGAAUAUUGCACAAUGGGGGGAACCCUGAUGCAGCGACGCCGCGUGGGUGAAGGAGUGCUUCGGCAUGUAAAGCCCUAUCGGCAGGGAAGAAGCAAGACGGUACCUGACUAAGAAGCCCCGGCUAACUCCGUACCAGCAGCCGCGGUAAUACGUAGGGGGCGAGCGUUAUCCGUAUUCACUGGGUGUAAAGGGAGCGUAGACGGCCAUGCAAGUCAGGGGUGAAAGCCCGGGGCUCAACCCCGGGACUGCCCUUGGAACUGUGCGGCUAGAGUGCGGGAGGGGCAGGCGGAAUUCCUGGUGUAGCGGUGAAAUGCGUAGAUAUCAGGAGGAACACCGGCGGCGAAGGCGGCCAGCUGGAUCGCGACUGACGUUGAGGCGCGAAAGCGUGGGGAGCGAACAGGAUUAGAUACCCGGGUAGUC